CGGGGGAGGGAGGAGAGUCCUCACUCUAAUGGAACUCGUGACCUAGGAAAGACUCUGGCCUGCGUCUCUUCUCCAUAGAGAAUUCCCACGGGCCGUGGACCGUAGUGUCUGGUCCCGUGAAGGCUCGGAGCUGGGUGCACCAGGCCGUCCAGACUGACGGCUCAGAGAGCCUGUGCUGCAAGCCAGGCCAGUGGGAACUGGGCCUGGAGCAUGUUUGCUUCAGCUCCAUAACUCCCCACCUUGCUCCAGAUCCUGGGCUCCCCAGUGGGCUCUUCACUGCCCUACACAAAACAGCCCCCAAGCGGGGAGGAGAGGGCUGCGCGUGCCGGCACGUUUCCGCGAAGACUCCACUCUGUUCUCUUGCUUUUGUGCAUUUCCUGCUGGGCUCGGCCUUGCAGCUGGCUCUUUAAGGCUGAGGCUACGCAAAGUUCUCAAUUCUGAAAGAACUGUGGAUAGCGGGUGAAGUUUCCUGAAUAAGAGAUGCUUUUUACCACAGUCCCAUGCUACUCAGGGGUCACCCCCUCUUUAAAAUGGAGUAACAUUUUUGUUCGUUUCUGCUUAUCAAAACCAUACAUGCUCAGUGUAAAAAAAAUUAUAAGCAAAAUAGAAAGCUAAGCACAGAUUUCUCUGGAAAGGACAGAGCUGGCCAGUCUCCCUGUGUGGAAAACAAUAGCUCGGCGAAGCACCCGGCUUUCUCAAGUUGCUUGACCUCCAGUCUCGCUCCUGAUUCUUGAUGACAAAACACAUUCAGUGCCCUUGAUUGAUUUAGCGGAGAAACUGCAAGAUUGGAGGAUGGAACGCAGCCAGUCCUGCCUGCAAAUGGAAUGCCUCGGCUGUGAUGGUCUUGUGUUUUGAACGAAGAUUGGGUCAGUUGCGGGUGGGCCAACAGCCGAGGUUGGAAGCUGUGAAAAUCCAGCCUCCUUAGUUCUUGCUGGGCAAAUGCCCUGUCCCCAAGGCACUGAUCCAGACCCUCUCCCUGCUCCAUUUUUUCCUCCUAUAUUUACCCCUGACUCCUGUUGUAUUUGUCCAAGAUACUUAGGCUUUUAUAUUUUUUCUCUGCUCACUUUGCUGUAUCUUUGCCAAAUAGCCUGAGUUUUAGG
rnacentral:lncRNA from 1 species